GUGUCAGCAGCCGCGGUAAUACGUAGGGGGCAAGCGUUGCUCGGAAUUACUGGGCGUAAAGGGAGUGCAGGCGGCCGGUUAAGUCAAAGAUGAAAUCCCGAGGCUCAACUUCGGAACGGUCUUUGAUACUGAUCGGCUUGAGGCUGGUUGAGGCGAGCAGAAUUCCCGGUGGAGCGGUGAAAUGCGUAGAUAUCGGGAGGAAUACCAGAGGCGAAGGCGGCUCGCUAAACUAGUCCUGACGCUGAGACUCGAAAGCUAGGGGAGCAAACGGGAUUAGAAACCCGUGUAGUCC
rnacentral:rRNA from 1 species